CCUACGGGAGGCAGCAGUGGGGGAUAUUGCACAAUGGGGGAAACCCUGAUGCAGCGACGCCGCGUGUGGGAAGACGGUCCUCUGGAUUGUAAACCACUGUACCCAGGGACGAAGAUGCCGGACCCUGGGGAGGAAGCCCCGGCUAACUACGUGCAAGCAGCCGCGGUAAUACGUAGGGAGCGGGUGUUUUCCGGAAUUACUGGGUGAAAGGGGAGGGAAGGCGGGGAUGCAAGGAGGGUGUAAAAACUAGCGGCUCAACUGGUAGUCGCACUCGAAACUGCAGCUCUUGAGUGAAGUAGAGGCAGGCGGAAUUCCUAGUGUAGCGGUGAAAUGCGUAGAUAUUAGGAGGAACACCAGUGGCGAAGGCGGCCUGCUGGGCUUUUACUGACGCUGAGGCUCGAAAGUGUGGGGAGCAAACAGGAUUAGAUACCCCUGUAGUC
rnacentral:rRNA from 1 species